rnacentral:rRNA from 1 species
CCUACGGGGGGCAGCAGUGGGGGAUAUUGCACAAUGGGGGGAACCCUGAUGCAGCGACGCCGCGUGGGUGAAGGAGCGUUUCGGCGCGUAAAGCCCUAUCGGCAGGGAAGAAGAUGACGGUACCUGACCAAGAAGCACCGGCUAACUACGUGCCAGGAGGCGCGGGAAUACGUAGGGGGCAAGCGUUAUCCGGAUUUACUGGGUGUAAAGGGGGCGCAGACGGGAAAGCAAGCCAGGAGGGAAAGCCCGGGGGCCAAACCCGGGACUGCUUUUGAAACUGUAUGGCUGGAGUGCAGGAGGGGCGAGCGGAAUUCCGAGUGUAGCGGUGAAAUGCGUAGAUAUUAGGAGGAACACCGGUGGCGAAAGCGGCCUGCUGGACUGUGACUGACGUUGAGGCCCGAAGGCGUGGGGAGCAAACAGGAUUAGAUACCCGAGUAGUC